GGCGGUGUAGCUCAGUUGGUUAGAGCAGCGGAAUCAUAAUCCGCUUGUCCGGGGUUCGAGUCCCUGCGCCGCCACCA
rnacentral:tRNA from 1 species